CGGCUGCCUUUUUAUUCCGCAUUUAAACUAUAUAAAACGAAUGAAUGAAUAUCGUAGAGAUGCUUCCAACUCUAUUAUUAUUAGAGCGAGACACUUUCUUAUUGAGAUCGAACCAAUGAGGGAUACGCGUGUAUAUUUUUUACUGCUAAGCGGGUUAUUAAAUUCGAAAUAACCGAGCUAAAGAAACCCUAGUUUAUAAUAUGCUUUAUUUUUAAUUUUAUAUUUAUUUUG